rnacentral:rRNA from 1 species
CGGGUUAAGUCCCGCAACGAGCGCAACCCUCGUCGUUAGUUGCUAACAGUUUGGCUGAGCACUCUAACGAGACUGCCUUCGUAAGGAGGAGGAAGGUGAGGACGACGUCAAGUCAUCAUGGCCCUUACGGCCAGGGCUACACACGUGCUACAAUGGGCGUACAAAGAGCUGCAAUACCGCGAGGUGGAGCCAAUCUCUUAAAGCGUCUCUCAGUUCGGAUUGUUCUCUGCAACUCGAGAACAUGAAGCUGGAAUCACUAGUAAUCGUAGAUCAGCUAUGCUACGGUGAAUACGUUCCCGGGUCUU